rnacentral:rRNA from 1 species
CGGUAAUUCCAGCUCCAAUAGCGUAUAUUAAAGUUGUUGCAGUUAGAACGCUCGUAGUCGGAUUUCGGGGCGGGCCGACCGGUCUGCCGAUGGGUACGCACUGGUCGGCGCGUCCUUCCUUCCGGAGACCGCGCCUACUCUUAACUGAGCGGGCGCGGGAGACGGAACGUUUACUUUGAAAAAAUCAGAGUGUUUCAAGCAGGCAGCUCGCUCUUGCAUGGAUUAGCAUGGGAUAAUGAAAUAGGACUUUGGUGCUAUUUUGUUGGUUUCGAACACCGAAGUAAUGAUGAGAAGGGACAGUCAGGGGCACUCGUAUACCGCCGAGAGAGGUGAAAUUCUCAGACCAGCGGAAGACGAACCACUGCGAAAGCAUUUGCCAGGGAUGUUUUCACUGAUCAAGAACGAAAGUUAGGGGAUCGAAGACGAUCAGAUACCGUCGUAGUCUUAACCAUAAACCAUGCCGACUAGGGAUUGGAGGAUGUUCACUUUUGACUCCUUCAGCACCUUACGGGAAACUAAAGUCUUUGGGUUCCGGGGGGAGUAUGGUCGCAAGGCUGAAACUUAAAGGAACUGACGGAAGGGCACCACCAGGUGUGGAGCCUGCGGCUUAAUUUGACUCAACACGGGGAAACUUACCAGGUCCAGACAUUGUGAGGAUUGACAGAUUGAGAGCUCUUUCUUGAUUCGAUGGGUGGUGGUGCAUGGCCGUUCUUAGUUGGUGGAGUGAUUUGUCUGGUUAGUUCCGUUAACGAACGAGACCUUAGCCUGCUAAAUAGUGACGCGAACACUUCGUUCGCGGGCCACUUCUUAGAGGGACAACUUGUCUUCAACAAGUGGAAGUUUGAGGCAAUAACAGGUCUGUGAUGCCCUUAGAUGUUCUGGGCCGCACGCGCGCUACGCUGAUGCACUCAACGAGUCUCCACCUUGACCGAAAGGUCCGGGAAACCUUCGAACUUGCAUCGUGAUGGGGAUAGAUUAUUGCAACUAUUAAUCUUCAACGAGGAAUACCUAGUAGGCGCAUGUCAUCAGCGUGCGUCGAUUACGUCCCUGCCCUUUGUACACACCGCCC